ACUGGGAGCACUGGUCAAACUGGUGGCACCGGGAGCCACAGCACUGGUGGUACUGGGAGUCGCAGAACUGCUCGAACUGGUGGUACUGGUCAAACUGGGAGCUGCAGAACUGGUCAAACUGGGAGUCGCAGAACUGCUCGAACUGGUGGUACUGGUCAAACUGGGAGCUGCAGAACUGGUCAAACUGGGAGCCGCAGAACUGGUCAAACUGGUGGUACUGGUCAAACUGGGAAUCACAGAACUGGUCAAACUGGGAGCUGCAGAACUGGUCAAACUGGGAGCCGCUGAACUGGUCAAACUGGUGGUGCUGGUCAAACUGGGAGCUGCAGAACUGUUCAAACUGGGAGACGCAGAACUGGUCAAACUGGGAGCCGCAGAACUGGUCAAACUGGGAGCCGCAGAACCGCUCAAACUGGUGGGACUGGUUGAACUGGGAGCCGCAGAACUGGUCGAACUGGGAACCCCAGAACUGGUCAAACUGGGAGCUGCAGAACUGUUCAAACUGGUGGGACUGGUCAAACUGGGAGCCGCUGAACUGGUCAAACUGGGAGCCGCUGAACCGCUCAAACUGGUGGUACUGGUCAAACUGGGAGCCGCAGAACUGCUCAAACUGCUGGGACUGGUCAAACUGGUGCUACCGGUGACACCCGGACUGGUCCCGCCGCUCCCUCCGGCGGCCUUGGCCACGCUCCCGGUCAGGCCCGGACUGGUCAUACUGGGAGCACUGGGAGCACUGGUCAUGCUGGGAGCACUGGGACCAGUGGUUGUACUGGUUGUACUGGUCAUACUGGGAGCACUGGGACCAGUGGUUGUACUGGUUGUACUGGUCAUACUGGUCAUACUGGUCAUACUGGUCAUACUGGUCAUACUGGUGGCACCGGCGGCCCUGGGGGCGGCCAGCGCGGCCAUGGCGCCGCUCAUGGCGCCGGCGCUGGCGCGGAGGAUGGCGGCG
rnacentral:lncRNA from 1 species